UACGGAGGGUGCAAGCGUUAAUCGGAAUUACUGGGCGUAGAGCGCACGCAGGUGGCUAAGUCAGUCGAUUGUGAAAGCCCUGGGCUUAACCUGGGAAUUGCAGUCGAUACUACUUAGCUCGAGUAUGGGAGAGGGCAGUGGAAUUCCCGGUGUAGCGGUGAAAUGCGUAGAUAUCGGGAGGAAAAUCAGUGGCGAAGGCGGCUGCCUGGCCCAAUACUGACACUCAUGUGCGAAAGCGUGGGGAGCAAACAGG
rnacentral:rRNA from 1 species